CCGAUGCAAACUACGAAUACCGAAGAAUGUUAUCACGGGAGACACACGGCGGGUGCUAACGUCCGUCGUGAAGAGGGAAACAACCCAGACCGCCAGCUAAGGUCCCAAAGUCAUGGUUAAGUGGGAAACGAUGUGGGAAGGCACAGACAGCCAGGAUGUUGGCUUAGAAGCAGCCAUCAUUUAAAGAAAGCGUAAUAGCUCACUGGUCGAGUCGGCCUGCGCGGAAGAUGUAACGGGGCUAAACCAUGCACCGAAGCUGCGGCAGCGACACUAUGUGUUGUUGGGUAGGGGAGCGUUCUGUAAGCCUGCGAAGGUGACCUGUGAGGGUUGCUGGAGGUAUCAGAAGUGCGAAUGCUGACAUAAGUAACGAUAAAGCGGGUGAAAAGCCCGCUCGCCGGAAGACCAAGGGUUCCUGUCCAACGUUAAUCGGGGCAGGGUGAGUCGACCCCUAAGGCGAGGCCGAAAGGCGUAGUCGAUGGGAAACAGGUUAAUAUUCCUGUACUUGGUGUUACUGCGAAGGGGGG
rnacentral:rRNA from 1 species